AGAUUGAACGCUGGCGGCAGGCCUAACACAUGCAAGUCGAGCGGUAGAGAGGUGCUUGCACCUCUUGAGAGCGGCGGACGGGUGAGUAAUGCCUAGGAAUCUGCCUAGUGGUGGGGGAUAACGUUCGGAAACGGACGCUAAUACCGCAUACGUCCUACGGGAGAAAGCGGGGGACCUUCGGGCCUCGCGCCAUUAGAUGAGCCUAGGUCGGAUUAGCUAGUUGGUGAGGUAAUGGCUCACCAAGGCGACGAUCCGUAACUGGUCUGGAGAGGAUGAUCAGUCACACGUGGAACUGGAGACGACGGUCCAGACCUCCGUAACGGGAGCAGCAGGUGGGAAUAGUGGAACAAGUGGGACGUAAAGCCGUAGAUCCAGUCCAGUCGCCGCGUGUGUAGGAAGAGGUUC
rnacentral:rRNA from 1 species